rnacentral:rRNA from 1 species
AUUGAACGCUGGCGGCAGGCUUAACACAUGCAAGUCGAGCGGGGGAAGGUAGCUUGCUACCGGACCUAGCGGCGGACGGGUGAGUAAUGCUUAGGAAUCUGCCUAUUAGUGGGGGACAACAUCUCGAAAGGGAUGCUAAUACCGCAUACGUCCUACGGGAGAAAGCAGGGGAUCUUCGGACCUUGCGCUAAUAGCUGAGCCUGAGUCGGAUUAGCUAGUUGGUGGGGUAAAGGCCUACCAAGGCGACGAUCUGUAGCGGGUCUGAGAGGAUGGUCCGCCACACUGGGACUUAGACACGGCCCAGACUCCUACGGGAGGCAGCAGUGGGGAAUAUUGGACAAUGGGGGGAACCCUGAUCCAGCCAUGCCGCGUGUGUGAAGAAGGCCUUAUGGUUGUAAAGCACUUUAAGCGAGGAGGAGGCUACUUUAGUUAAUACCUAGAGAUAGUGGACGUUACUCGCAGAAUAAGCACCGGCUAACUCUGUGCCAGCCGCCGCCGUAA